rnacentral:rRNA from 1 species
CUCACACCCAUCAACGCCCGGGUACUACGAGCCCCAGCUUAAAACCCAAAGGACUUGACGGUGUCCCAUCCACCUAGAGGAGCCUGUUCUAUAAUCGAUAAUCCCCGCUAAACCCAACCCCCUCUUGCAAUCAGCCUGUAUACCUCCGUCGUAAGCUUACCAUAUGAAUGACCCCAGUAAGCUAAAUGAUUAUAACACCCCAAUACGUCAGGUCAAGGUGCAGCUCAUGAGAAGGCAAGCAAUGGGCUACAAUUUCUAAUCUAGAACAAACGAAACACUGCAUGAAACUCAGCUGUGAAGGCGGAUUUAGUAGUAAAAAGAAAAUAGCGUGUUCUUUUUAACUAGGCCCUGGGACGUGUACACACCGCCCGUC